UCUCUGCUGGGGUUGGAGUAGCUUCCUGGUCCUACUCUAAAUCUGACAGGAGGGUUCCAGCAGGGGUCUGAGGGCCAUCUUAUGCUGCCUGUCUGCUCAUCCUUUCCCCUGGGUCUGAGGUCUCUUUCUUCAUCCUCUGAUUUCCUCUGGUUUCAAGACCUCCAGAACGCUGGACUUGAUCCCACAAAGCAAAGGGCUAUGGAUGCACCAAAAACAGGUUGACCUGUGCAUCCAAGAGUGACCACCACCUUGCCUACCUUUUACUCCAUGGUGGUAUUCAGGAAACGUUCAUUGCAUCUCAGCCCCAUUGAAUUAGUGGGGCUCAAGUAUUUAAACAUGCCCUUCCAUUUCACUGAUACCAGUGGGACAUAGGUUACUGCUAACAUUCUCUGGAUUUGGCCCUGUGGCCGGAAUAAUUCAUUGUUCUCCCUUUGGUGGGCAGAAAAGACUUCAGUCGUGAGGACAGCAGCAAGAUUGCCAUAAUCCCCAGAAAUAUGUCCUGAAAAAUUGCUCCACCUUUGUGCACAGACCAAGAUCAGGAACAACAUGCCCUGUGCAUAGACAAAUAUGGAACUGUAAUGACAUUCCAUGUCUUCUGUAGCAGAUCUCGAAACGUCUUAUCAUGAGUGCUCUUCACUACCAUGACCAACUGGACCCCCUUUUUCAUCUUUUUAAUACAUUGUCUACCCAUCCUUCUCACUGGGCUCUCUUAUUAGAAAUCUGAUUUACAUAUAUGAUCUGUGAGAUAUAAAACAAAUAAGCUGUGCUAAUUUAACACACCUAGUUCACCUAUGUGUAAGUUGCAUAUUGUAUGGCUCUGUGACUUCUUGCUUUGGUGGUGCCUCUAUGUUGAGUAACAUCUAGUGACCUUUCAAGAUCUCCCACGGAUCAAUAUAUGUUACCAGGUGCUAAUACCAACUUAUUGAAAAACACAGCUGAGACCCAGUGGCAUGUUUUACCUGCUCAGCAACACGUAUGGGUGUCUGUAUGAAUAUUAGUAUAGACUUGUACAUAUACCAAAGCAUGGUUUAGGUGCAGUGAAGGGCUAAUAGACUGUUAGCAUGUAUUCAGCAAUAUGGUCUUUCUAUAGACAAUAUUUGCAGUCAUAGAGAACUCUGUUCAGAUAUGUUCAAGAGGUUAAACGUUAUCUGAUACAUCUCUUCUCCCUUGCUCAGUACAAAACUUGAUGUGUGUGUGUGCUUGCAUGUAUCUUGAUCUUAAUUGGUUUCAUUAACUU